rnacentral:rRNA from 1 species
GAUGAACGCUGGCGGCGUGCUUAACACAUGCAAGUCGAACGGAAAGGCCUCAGCUUGCUGGGGUACUCGAUUGGCGAACGGGUGAGUAACACGUGGGUGAUCUGCUCUGCACUUUGGGAUAAGCUUGGGGAAAUGGGUCUAAUACCGAUUAUGACCCCUUCUUGGAGGUUGCGGUGGAAAGCUUUUGCGGUGUGGGAUGAGCCUGCGGCCUAUCAGCUUGUUGGUGGGGUAAUGGCCUACCAAGGCGGCGACGGGUAUCCGGCCUGAGAGGGUGUACGGACACAUUGGGACUGAGAUACGGCCCAGACUCCUACGGGAGGCAGCAGUGGGGAAUAUUGCACAAUGGGCGCAAGCCUGAUGCAGCGACGCCGCGUGGGGGAUGAAGGCGUUCGGGUUGUAAACUCCUUUCGCUAUCGACGAAGCCACUUGUGGUGACGGUAGGUAGAUAAGAAGCACCGGCUAACUACGUGCCAGCCGCCGCAGUAA